GAAGAAUUACAAUGUAUCAUGUUGCUCCGAUUCGGUUGAAUGAUAUUGCGAUAAAAAUUCGAUGGAUACGGUUGCAAAAUAAAAUCACCAUACGGCAAACGGGUUGAAAUAACACACAUACACUAAUCUAUUUAACUAAAUGAAACUGUUUUCCAACAGUUUGGCAAACGUUAGCACAAAAUAGUGUUGGUAUUCACAAAGCAAGUUCGCUUCUGUCUGUCUGUCAAAACAAAGUGAAGCUCUAAAAUCACAAGCGAGCCAAAAUAUUGUUUAAAAGUUUCAAAAAUCUAGACAAUUAUUGUGCCUGCAAGAUUUUUUUUAUUUAAUCGUCAGUUUGCCAUUAAAACUUUUCGGUUCCUUGCUAAUAAAUGAUGUGUUGCUUCUGCUUUGGAUAUCUUUGCAAAAGAAUAUUUUCUAAAACUCCAGAAUACAGUGGACUCGAUUCAACCAAAAACAGUGCCGCUUCCGCAGAAUGCUGAAAAUGAUCACAGCCGAGUGUUCCUAGUCAGCAAAAUCCACGCAGAUAUUUCGGCUUUACUCGAUCCAACCAUCAGUGUGGCAGUCAAAUUUGAGUGAAAUCCGGGGGGAGUUGAUUAGAACUGUAUGGAUCACAGCGUUCGAAAUGACGACAGUUUCAAUUUCUCCAUCCAUCCGGAAAAAUAAUUCAACAUAGUUUGAGAAAAAAACUUUACAGUUCGAUAAUGUAAAUAGUUCUAGUUAUUGUGUAAUACAAUUGAGUGACGAAAAAA
rnacentral:lncRNA from 1 species